rnacentral:rRNA from 1 species
AGAAGCUACUAAGGGCAGACGGUGGAUGCCUUGGCACAGAUAGGCGAUGAAGGACGUGGUAAGCUGCGAUAAGCUACGGAGAGGUGCAAACAACCUUUGAUCCGUAGAUUUCCGAAUGGGGCAACCCGGCUGGGUUAACACCUGGUCACUCUUUUACUGAAUAUAUAGGUUUAAGAGGGCAAACCUGGGGAACUGAAACAUCUAAGUACCCAGAGGAAAAUAAAGAGAAUUCGAUUCCCCCAGUAGCGGCGAGCGAAAAGGGAUUAGUCCAAACCGAGCUAUGUGUAUGCAGCGCGUGCUUAGCAUAGUCGGUGUUGCGGGAAAUUUUUGGAGGAGCGCGUAUCUCCUCGAGUUACAAAGCCGUAUAGCAGAAUGAGUUUGGAAAGACUCUGCCGUAGAGGGUGAUAGUCCCGUAUGCGAAAUACGACUCACGACUUGAUUAAUUCUCCCAAGUAGGGCCGGACACGUGUAAUCCGGUUUGAAUCCGGGCAGCCCACUGCCUAAGACUAAAUACUCAUCUGUGACCGAUAGUGAACUAGUACCGUGAGGGAAAGGUGAAAAGCACCCCUGGAGGGGAGUGAAAUAGUACCUGAAACCGUUUGCCUACAAGCUGUCGGAGCGGCCAUAGCAGCCGUGACGGCGUGCCUUUUGCAUAAUGAGCCGGGGAGUUACUCGUACGUAGCAAGGUUAAGCCUCGAGAAGGUGGAGCCGAAGGGAAACCGAGUCUGAAUAGGGCGAUUUAGUUGCGUGCGGUAGACCCGAAGCCAGGUGAUCUAUCCAUGGUCAGGUUGAAGCUUGGGUAAAACCAAGUGGAGGACCGAACCCACUAACAAUGAAAAGUUAGGGGAUGAACUGUGGAUAGGGGUGAAAGGCCAAUCAAACCUGGAGAUAGCUGGUUCUCUCCGAAAUAGCUUUAGGGCUAGCGUUGCGUGAUAGUGUGCCGGAGGUAGAGCACUGAAUGGGUAAGGGGGCCUACCAGCUUACCAACCCCAAUCAAACUCCGAAUGCCGGUCACAUUUUUCGCAGCAGUCAGGCAGUGGGGGAUAAGCUUCAUUGCCGAGAGGGAAACAACCCAGACCUACAGCUAAGGCCCCUAAGAGUAUGCUGAGUGUAUCUAAGGAAGUGAAAGCGCUCAGACAACUGGGAUGUUGGCUUAGAAGCAGCCAUUCAUUUAAAGAGUGCGUAACAGCUCACCAGUCAAGCGAUUUUGCGCCGAUAAUAAUCGGGGCUAAGCAUACCGCCGAAGCUUAGGAAUGUACUUUGUACAUUGGUAGGAGAGCGUUCCAUUUGCGUCGAAGGUGUUCUGGAAGGAAUGCUGGAGCGUAUGGAAGUGAUCAUCCCGGCAUCAGUAGCGACAAUGAGGGUGAGAAACCUUCACACCGAAAGACUAAGGUUUCCUGGGCAAGGCUGAUCCUCCCAGGGUAAGUCGGAUCCUAAGGCGAGGCCGAAAGGCGUAGUCGAUGGACAACAGGUUAAUAUUCCUGUACCACCGGUACAGUGUUUGAGCGAUGGAGUGACGCAGAAGGUAAGACCAGCCGGGUGAUGGAAGUCCCGGUUUAAGCGUGUAGGAAGAGAGUAUAGGCAAAUCCGUACUUUCAUUUUCUGAGACGUUAUGACGAGUCUCUUAGAGACAUAAAGUGGUUGGGUCCAUGCUGCCAAGAAAACCUUCUAAGCGAAUUGUACAGGUGUCCGUACCUCAAACCGACACAGGUAGUCGAGGAGAGUAUCCUAAGGUGUUCGAGAUAACUAUGGUUAAGGAACUAGGCAAAAUUGUCCCGUAACUUCGGGAGAAGGGACGCCACAGACUGUGAUUCAACUUGCUUGAUGAGCACGACGUGGCCGCAGUGAAAAGGCUCGGGCGACUGUUUACUAAAAACACAGGUCUCUGCUAAGUCGCAAGACGACGUAUAGGGACUGACACCUGCCCGGUGCUGGAGCGUUAAGAGGAAGGGUUAGUCUUCAUUUAUGUAGACGAAGCCUUGAAUUGAAGCCCCAGUAAACGGCGGCCGUAACUAUAACGGUCCUAAGGUAGCGAAAUUCCUCGUCGGGUAAAUUCCGACCCGCACGA